CAGAGCAAGAGCAGGGCUCAGGUUGCAGUCGAAGAGGAGUUGUCGCCUAAGUUCGGAUGUUUCUUCAGGAUGCUUAGAUUCCGAUGAGCUGGGGAUCAGUCCAAGGUCACACUGCUUUGCAGAAAUCACUCUCAUCUCUGCCGGUCUACAUCGAGGAGGCGCGUUGACAGGUGGAUGCUGAACUCUGGGUCAGGAUUACAGGCUCCUUUGAAGAAUGCAGAAUGAUCUCAAGCGGUGCUCAUUUUUUCCUGUCUGGCGGGGAAUUUCCUCACUUGAGAGAUUGCCUUCCAUUGCAGAUUUUUAUUGAGUUACUAUAUAACCAGAGUAUGACAGCGAUGAAAGAAAUGGUUAUAAAGAUGAAUCACCUACAAUCCUUCAUCUGGGGUCACCAUUUUCCCUCCACUCUCCCAGUCCUUACCUAAGUGCACUUAUAUUACAUUGUAUCACAGUACAGAUAACAUGUUUGUAUUGUAUCCAAAGCAAUGUUUUAUGUCUUCACUGUCUACAUAAUCAGCAUCCCAUUCUAAUGGUGGAAUAACAUUCCUGUGCACCAUCCUCAUUCCAUUCUCAUGAUUUCAUCUUCAGCUAUUUGACUUGUCAGAUACGAAGGUAGGUUCCUGAUUUCUGAAAGCAUAAAUAAGGAACAUCUUUGCAUGAAAAGACCUAUUUAAAAAAUUC